GGAGAUGGGCUGUGCGAGGUGGAGAAGCAGGGCACGUGCAUUACUAUCUAUCACAUACUCUCAUGGAAGAGAGGAGACGGCUAGUUCUUCAUGUGCCCCUCUUCUCCACCAAGCCCAACUCAUCUAAUUUAUGCAGCAAUAUGGGCAAAGUUGUAUUCUCCGAUGCAUGCGUUAAUAGCAGACUGGCUCAUGAGUUCUUCCUUUUCGAUCGCAGGCUAUGCAGGGAGUUUUUAUUCUUGCAAUAAAAAGUUGGAUGCCAGGUGAAGAUCGAACGUAACCAUAUAAGAGAUCAGGAGGAAAGAAGAACAAGGACAGAAUCCAAUCUCGAUAGUUUUCCUUCUUCAAUUGCUAUAUCUUCUUGUCAUGGUUCAUUAUAAAGUUCAACAUGUCACUACCAAUUUCGAUCAAUCACAUCAUAUGUCUAUCUACAAGAUGCCAGUAAGGUUUGCAGAAAUAAGUGCAUCAAAGUAUAGGAAAAGUAAUUAAAGAUUUAAGUUUUUGUACUAAGAUAUGUGUUAGCACUAGAAAUAUUUAUUCUCGUACCUUGCCCCUUUUCUGAAAAUGGACUCCUUUAAAGUAUUAGGGGAUUCUCUCUCU